CAUUUGUGAUUUUCUCCUAAUCGAAAGAAAAAGUAAUUCAAGAAGGGAAAAAUUAGUUCAGUUGCGUGACUAACUAUUAGCAUGCAACACCGUCCUUCCGGACGACAUGGAACCAACGAAACUUGUUUCGUAAACUUCCCAACAUUGUGAUUAGACGUAGCCCAUUUCUCUUCUACUUGAUCGUCGACUAAUUGUGCCUUGAAUGUCUUCUACGUGGUGCGCAAUAAAAACAACCAAACGAUUGCCAUUUCCCUUUCUUUCUGGUUGUACUGGUUGGUUUAAAAUCUACCAUGGCUUCGUCAUCACCCUUAAGACAUGUUCAUCAUUAAUCCCGUCACUGCCCGGCGAGUCCUUCGCAAAAGCAAGCGCCAGUGUACUGGAUACAGCCGGUAUCUUUACAUAAAAUCUUCUUGAAUGCAUUGUGGUCUUCUACCUUUUACUUCGCCGCUGGACGGACGACAGCGUAAACAUAGGGCAAGAGAAUGGUGACGUUAAAA